rnacentral:rRNA from 1 species
CGGGACGGGGUGGAGUAAUGUCUGGGAAACUAGCCUGAUGGAGGGGGAUAACUACUGGAAACGGUAGCUAAUACCGCAUAACGUCGCAAGACCAAAGAGGGGGACCUUCGGGCCUCUUGCCAUCGGAUGUGCCCAGAUGGGAUUAGCUAGUAGGUGGGGUAACGGCUCACCUAGGCGACGAUCCCUAGCUGGUCUGAGAGGAUGCCAGCCACACUGGAACUGAGACACGGUCCAG